GAGAUGAGGGCAGCAGAGGUGAAGAAGGGGAGACGACAGUAGCAGCAGCAAUGGGGCAUCAAUGUCACACAGACAGCCACCUGUCCCCUCCCAAUAGAGCUCCCUAUGGCUUGGGGUGGAAGAGGUAAACCCCACCCCAGGUCCCUCCUCUCAGAUAGCCUCCUUGGGGCUCAACCCUUUUCUUCGGUUAGGAGACUCAGGCACAUGGGAGAGGAGGAAGUGGGGGAGGAGACCGGAGAGGCAGGGUGGUGGAAGGAAUGAAGGCAGAAGUGGGGGGUGGGGGGCAUGAGCAAGGUCUAGCCCUGCCAUGCCCACCAGGGGAGAGGUGAGGAAGCCACACCGUCACACAGCAUGUCGGGGAGCAGGUGAAGUUUAAGGCUCAGGGGCUCAGGCAGGCAGGCAGGCAGGCAGGCACGGUCCCAGGCCUCAGUCGAAGCCGAGCCAAUCGCUCUGUUCCGAGUCAUACUCCAGCUCAGCGCCCACACACUUGACACCAUCCAGCAGCAUGGGUGUACCGUGGUGCCGGUCUGCAAGGUAGGCCCGAGUUAGAGCGUGCUGGCUGCAUGCUGGCACCACACAAGGUUUAUUCCACAGGGACCUCUCCCUGGCAUUAGCUGGGGAUUCGGGGAAAGACCCUGCCAGCUUCAAGAAUCUAUUGAAGCCGGUCUCAUGUCUCCCUCCUCUAACCAGACCUGCCCUAACCCUAACUCACCCAUGACCCGCGCCUGCACCGUCACACGCACACAGGUGCCUAUGUCACCCUCGCAGGCCAGGAGCAUCUCCUCUUUGAGAACACCUUCUUUGUGUGCCGAGUACUCACACUUGAUGCUGUAACCUGUUGGAGGACAGGGAUGGAUAGGCAAUCAGUAUCUCCUACAGCUCCUCCAUACUGUCCCCAGCAUGCACAGUCCCCAGAUGGUCCCUUCAGAGACCCACCCUACAGAGCUGGUACAGGACUUAAGAAACUCCCCAUCCUUUCAAAUAAGGCCAAUGUGCCCCUGGCCUGAGAACUCAGUGUGGCUCUAAAGGUGGAAGACAGGAUCUAAUUCAUCCUUCUAAGGUCCCACUAGUGCCACACAAGAUGGCAGGAAGGGGGUGAUGGAGAUCAAGGAGAGGCUGUCAGAGUGGGUUUUGAACAGAUGGGGUGGAGAGAAAGGAACGUCCGCUAAACAGCAAGUGAUUAGGAAGCAGAAGUGGGGAUGUGGAAUUGAAGCCAGUGCUCGGCUUCAUACCCUUGAAACUGGCGCCCUAGUCUCCGUCAGGCUGGUGACCAGGAGUCGGGGCAGCACCAGGAGCCAGCCGGAGAAGCAGCAUAGAACCCAAUGCCUGGAUGGAACGUUCUAGAUAUCAGCCACCCAAAGCGCCUACAGCUCCUGCCUUUUUAUCCAGGAAGAUGAGAGGGAAGGCUGGAAGCCCAAAGGCAGUUCCUCAGUGGCUCCCAUCUCUGGGACAUCUCCACUGAAGGUACCAUCAGACAGUGAAGAGGUAUGCAAACCUGGAGUGUAUGUCAAUGGAAUGGAUUUUCUGUCCAAAAAUGGACGCCUGGGGCUGGAACUGCCAUGCUCCCACACUGGAAACUCAAGGAGGUGCCAAGCCCCUGACUUUUACUGAGCAGCCUGAUCACCCUAGCUAGGGAAAGGGCAAAGAAACACAUGCUCUCCUCCCUCCUACUCCCAGCAGGCCCCCGCAGCCCAGGAGGGGACCUACCUUCAGAGGUGGGUGUGACGCUGAGCAGCUUGAGGUGCAAGCUGUGGACAGGGGUCUCACGGAUGUCCUUGCUCAGUCUGCGCACUGGAGGCAGAGUGAAGGUAAUCUCAUACCUGUGCAGGAUCUUCAGGAAGCCAACCUGCAGCAACAGGGGAGGAGGGAGAAGCACCUUCACUGGGGCUCCUCUAGGGCAUCAGGGCGGCCGCCUGGGCUCCUGGUGGGCCCCAGCACCUGCCUCCCUGGAAGCCCAACGCUUGCUACUCUCCAGCUGUUCCAGGCCUUUCAACAAUCCCUUCCCCUUAAGGCUCAAGGCCCAAGUGAUUUCUGUUGUCCAGAUACACUGCCUGGCAACCAAUGCUGUCCCUGUGGGACAGGGGCCUUGGGAAAUUUUUUGUGUGAAGGGUCACGCCCCAGUGUCUGUCUCAGAGACCCCAUAGGCCUCAGUUUUAUAGAUAAGAAUAUGGAAGUCAGGAAGUGACUGCCUAGAGGUCACAUUGUAAACAAUAGAAAAGUCCUUCCUAGACCUCCUGGUCACUCCUGUCCUGUGUAGUACUCAGUAAGAAACCAGUCACAGCCAGGGAGGGGAAGCGUCACUCCAGCACCUAUCCAGAUCAAGCAGGCCAGGAAGGAAUGCUGGUGACUUCAUGACUUGAUAGAUGGCAUGGGAUUGAAGAGAAAACAGAACUGGAGAACUGGACAUUAGGGUUUGGGGAAUGGCUCAGUGGUAGACUAUGUAUUCAACACGUAUGAGUCACUGGUUUUGAUACCAAGAACCAACCAAACUAACUAACUACAACAACAACAAAAAAACCACUAAACUAGCUGUGGGAGCCCCCAGCAAGUCAAAAGCCAAAUAUUAACUAAACCUGUGAUCCUGUCUGCCGACAUGUGGUAAUGGAUGUGUGCCCACCUGCACACUCAGUGGUGCCAUGUGAUCAGUGACCUCUGCUCAUGGCCCAAGUCAUUUCUGUCAUCCAGAUACACUGCCUGGCAAACCGAUGCUGUCCCUCUGGGACAGAGGCCUUGGGAACUUUUUGGUGUGAAGGGUCAGAAUCUGAAAUGCUUCUGAGAAGAGUGUCCUUCUGAAAGCUUUCUGAGGCAGGCGAGGUAGCUCUCGUCUACUCCCAGCAUGGAGACCAAGGCAACAGGACUGCUACAGGUUGAAGAGCAGUGUGAGCUACCCAGUGAGCCGGGGCCAGAGCUCAGUUGGUAGAGUGCCUGUCUAGCAUGCAUGGCCCUGGGUUUGCUCCCAUCACCAAAUCAAAUCAGGCCUAGUGGGCCAUACCUGUAAUCCCAGCACUCUGGAGGCAGGGGCAGAGGGAUGGGAAGCCCAAGGUCAUCCUUGGCUACACAGCCAGUUCAAGGACAGCUUGGAGUACAUGAGACCCUGUCUUAAAAAAAGCAAAACAACACUUUAAAAAAAAAACAAUUGGGUUUCUUUUUACUGGCUUACCACAUGCUGUAGUGCUGUGCAGGUCAGAUGAUAAUUUGCAGUAGCUGGCUCUAUCCUCCCACCAAGUAGGUUCUGGGACCAAACUUAGGUAGCCAGGCUGGGCGAGUACCUUUACCUGCUAAGCCAUGUCAAUGGUCCUCAAAAGCUUAUCAGGUCUACUGAGCGGGCACAGUGGGCGAAAUGGUACUCACCACUGACUUGACAAUUUGAAUCUGGUCCUCAGAACCUACUCAAAAGAAGGGGUGGGCUGACUUUCGAAAGAUGUCCACACCUCCAUAUGUAUGCUAUAGCACACGUCCCCC
rnacentral:lncRNA from 1 species